UAUGCAGGCACCAGCCUGUAAAUGCACAGAUGUCAAUGCCCCGUGCAGGAUUCCUGGCUGACAGCUACAGCCCUUGCACUGCAAGGGAAAUCAGAACAGGAUAAAAUAGAAUAUUUCAGCUGCAAGGGGUCUGCAGGGAUCAUCUAGUCCCACUGCAUUUUGAAAAAUUCAGUUUGUUGUUCAGAUGCAAAGCAUCUCAGGGUUGCUGAAAGUUCACCACUCCUGGGGGCUCCUGCCAGUGCCAAAGAUUUCUCACACCAAGCUUUUUGUUAGCACAGAUUUCACUGCAUGGGUGAGACAGAGGGUUGUCACUUAGGAGGGUUGUCACUCACUAUUUCCAGCUACCUAAAUCUUGGCUUGAAUUUACUUAUAUUACCCUGACUAAAAUCAUCCUACCAGUCUAAAUGGCAAAGUAAAAUAAUUGCCCUUGACUUUUCAGUAGCUUUUCAGUAGCCAGUUUUCCUCAGCCUCCUCUGGAGGUCUUGGGCAGCAUGACUUGAAAGGGAGUCCUGUUCUUCUCCAGUGUCUACAGAGGUGUAGGCUUUUAAAUUAGGUUCCUAAAUUUAGGUGGGAAUGAUGCUUUAAAUGCAGAGCCAGGUCCUGUUAAAAUACUUCUCUGGUUGGAGCAAAUUGUUGCCCUCACCAAACUGCUCCUGGGCUGGUUGGCUUCUGUUCCUAAUGCUGUUGUCAUUCAAAGGUUGGUGAAAAACCUAAACAGAAGAAAAGAAGGCUGGAUUCCUGUCCACAGUCUUCAGAUUGUAGUCGGUGACUGCAGAUUUCGGAAUGCCAAAGUUGCAGAUGCUGCCCUGUGUAACACGAGAAAGUUUAGUUCCCCUUGAAUUAAGGGUGAACUAGCAGCAUCCUAUUUUCGAUGCUCUUUGGAAGCUUUCAACUCAGUGUUACAGAGAACUAGCACAGUAGUUGGAGCUGUCCUGUACUAUUCAUCACAUUCACAGACCUCCCCAGCUUCAUCUGCACUGAGUGGGACCGGGGUCCUAAGCAGCUUCUCAUGCUCAUAAAGGAGGCCAUUCUCUGCCCUUUGUUUCUUUUCGCCUGUGGAAAUUCUGGUAUUUUGUUAAUUUUUCCUGCUGUUUUUCCAUGACAUACAUCAUGUUUCAUCAGAGAAGUCCACUGCAGUUUCCUGACACUUCGUUUAGAUGCUUGAAUUUUCUUCUACAGGUUGAAGUAGGUUUUGCCUACUUAUUAGCUGACAACUGUUGAAGUUGCAAACAAGAGUUGAGUUUUGGUAAACCAAAAAGAAAAACAAAACCAAACAAAGAAGCUGUAUGUCCUGCUUCAUUGAUUUUAUGGGUGGGUUUUUCUUAAAUAUCUGCUUCAGCUAUGUGAAUGUAAUGUUCUGUAAGAGCAUCAUCUGGCUGACUCCCAUGUGAGGAAGCAAUAACACUAAAGAUCCUCUUUUUGCACUUAGGGUCUGACUCCAGCCCAUUGCAGUCAGCCUCCCUGAUUUCAGCCAGGUCUGGAUCAGGUCAAACUGACACCUCAGGGUUGUCACCAAGCACUUAGGGUCCCAAAGUGUCCCAGGGCUGAAACCUGUAUCUAGCAAGUGUUGAAGUUUACAUUAAUGUAUGUACUUUGGAACACGUGCCAUAAAUCCAAGCUAAAUGUCCAUGUUUGCACUAAGGAUGUUCUUGUGAUAAGACUUUUUCAGCAUCUUUAACAAUAACGUACCUAUUGAAUUUUUGAGAAGGGAAAAAGAAUGUUGAAGACUCAUCGUUUAAUUUUGUGUUUCUUUGUCUAGAUUUGCUUUUGUAGAGCAUAGGUAGGUACAGGUGGUUUGAAUUUUAAGCAGAUGUGUGCAAAGAGCACCUGAGUGUGUGG
rnacentral:lncRNA from 1 species